rnacentral:rRNA from 1 species
CCCGGGUCUUGUACACACUGCCCGUCACACCAUGGGAGUUGGUUUUACCUUAAGUCGUUGGGCUAACCUUCGGGAGGCAGGCGACCACGGUAGAAUCAGUGACUGGGGUG